rnacentral:rRNA from 1 species
AUUGAACGCUGGCGGCAUGCUUUACACAUGCAAGUCGAACGGCAGCACGGGGGCAACCCUGGUGGCGAGUGGCGAACGGGUGAGUAAUGCAUCGGAACAUGCCCAGUCGUGGGGGAUAACGUAGCGAAAGUUACGCUAAUACCGCAUACGUCCUGAGGGAGAAAGCGGGGGAUCGCAAGACCUCGCGCGAUUGGAGUGGCCGAUGUCAGAUUAGCUAGUUGGUGGGGUAAAGGCCCACCAAGGCGACGAUCUGUAGCGGGUCUGAGAGGAUGAUCCGCCACACUGGGACUGAGACACGGCCCAGACUCCUACGGGAGGCAGCAGUGGGGAAUUUUGGACAAUGGGGGCAACCCUGAUCCAGCCAUGCCGCGUGCGGGAAGAAGGCCUUCGGGUUGUAAACCGCUUUCAGCCGGAAAGAAAUCGCUAUUCCUAAUACGAGUGGUGGAUGACGGUACCGGAAGAAGAAGCACCGGCUAACUACGUGCCAGCAGCCGCCGCCGUAA